AUUGAACGCUGGCGGCAUGCUUUACACAUGCAAGUCGAACGGUAACAGGCCUUCGGGUGCUGACGAGUGGCGAACGGGUGAGUAAUGCAUCGGAACGUACCCAGAGGUGGGGGAUAACGCAGCGAAAGCUGUGCUAAUACCGCAUGUGAUCUGAGGAUGAAAGCGGGGGACCGAGCAGCAAUGUUUGGCCUCGCGCCUUUGGAGCGGCCGAUGUCGGAUUAGCUAGUUGGUGGGGUAAAGGCCUACCAAGGCGACGAUCCGUAGCUGGUCUGAGAGGACGAACAGACACACUGGGACUGAGACACGGCCCAGACUCCUACGGGAGGCAGCAGUGGGGAAUUUUGGACAAUGGGCGCAAGCCUGAUCCAGCAAUGCCGCGUGCGGGAAGAAGGCCUUCGGGUUGUAAACCGCUUUUGGCAGGAACGAAACGGUGUCCGCUAAUACCGGGCGCUAAUGACGGUACCUGCAGAAUAAGCACCGGCUAACUACGUG
rnacentral:rRNA from 1 species